AUUGAACGCUGGCGGCAUGCCUUACACAUGCAAGUCGAACGGCAGCACGGGUGCUUGCACCUGGUGGCGAGUGGCGAACGGGUGAGUAAUACAUCGGAACAUGUCCUGUAGUGGGGGAUGGCCGGGGGAAAGCCGGAUUAAUCCGGCAUCGGAUCUAGGGAGGAAAGGGGGGGCCCUUCGGGCCUGGCGCUGGGGGGUGGGCGGGUGGCUGAUUAGCGCGUUGGGGGGGUAAAGGCCUACCAAGGCGACGAUCGGUAGCGGGUCUGAGAGGACGACCAGCCACACUGGGACUGAGCCACGGCCCAGACUCCUACGGGAGGCAGCAGUGGGGAAUUUUGGACAAUGGGCGAAAGCCUGAUCCAGCAAUGCCGCGUGUGUGAAGAAGGCCUUCGGGUUGUAAAGCACUUUUGUCCGGAAAGAAAUCCUUGGCCCUAAUACGGUCGGGGGAUGACGGUACCGGAAGAAUAAGCACCGGCUAACUACGUG
rnacentral:rRNA from 1 species